UUUUUUCCCCUACGCUUAUCAACAGCUUUCCUGCAGGCAAGGCAAGGUGUGCCUGCCCCACACCCCACGUGGAGCAGGCGCUGCACUGCUCUGUCCUUCUGCAAAUGCCCACCGCAACCUGCUGCACUCAUCUCCCAAAGAUCAAAGGCUACUUUGAAUCUUAGACUAACUUCGCUGCAAGGAAAGCCCUGCAAUAUUUACAGUCGCGUUUCCAGAAAUAGAAAGUUCCCUAAUUCUGAGAAUUACAAGCAAAGCAUCAGUUAGCACGCAUUGACAUCCCAUGGUCCAAUGUGACGUAUCCCCAUUUCCCCACAGAUGUGGCAUAUCCCCAUUUCCUUGCAGCCCCUGUGCAGAGUCCCACACAGGGGCCGUGUAGCUCCUUGCUGAGCACAGAUCCUGCCCAGGAGGUGUGUGGCCCCGUGCCCAGGCCCAUGGUGCAAUGUUAACCACAUUCGCUGCAGGAAGUAUGCUUCCCAGGUGUCUGGUUUCCCUCGUUUGUGGGCAGAAAUGAUUUGGAGAGAAAAAAAGAACAAGCACCUAGAUCUUAUCAGCUAACAGUGCAUGGCUGAACCUACCCAAUUUGUACCUCAUGAGUCAUGAAGGUCUAUCGUGCAUGUCCUCUAGACACUGAGUUUUGCUCUUGAACCUUUGUGAGAUGCUAUCUGAGGUCAGGAGGAGCUUACACAAGGCAAAACGCUCUCUGGUGCAGUCCUCAUCCCCCGGUAAGAGGCGAAGCAGCUGACAGUAAAGGCAACUGAAGGUAGCUGCUGCCAGAGGAAGGCUGAAGAGACGGUUUCCCACCAAAAAUAAAACAAAAAAAAACCCCUACACUAACAAAAGUGUCCCUGUGCCUCCAGUAAGGCCAGGGUGAGGUGGCUGAGGACUGGCGAGCCCUGAACCUUCUGUCCCUGCUCAGCACUGGUGCAAAGCACUGAUGCUAGAAAGGCACUUUGUACAGAAGAUGCACCCAUGUGUGCACACAGACAUGCAGUCCACAGUGAGCUGUGAAGCAGACACAUGCAGCAGUGCACACCUGCACCCACACCUCAGCACUCACACCUGUGCACACACGUGCACAGCCACCACCUGCAGGCAGAACAGGCACGUGGAGAGCCCAGGCACACCGCUCAGCUGCAGCUCCCUCAGAAGCAAGGCUCUGCCCUGCUCCAACAAAGCCGAUGAAACACAGUCUGGUGAGUGAAGGGACCCAGCUCACACCCUGCAGGCCCAAGGGACGCCUCCAAACAGCCAGCACUCAGCCCUUGGUGGCUUGCAGGCUCACACAUCACCUAGGCCAGGACAGCAGCUCUGGGCCAGCCCACAGGUGGCUCAACCACCACACGCCAUCCUCUGAGGAAAGCAUGCCCCAAGUCCAGUGCUUGUCUUCUGUCUUCAGGGAAGGCUGUCCCGCAGCUUCUCCUCCCUGCUUAUCACAGAGAGCUUGCACCGAGCACUGGGGACACCCUUCCACCUUCGUGCUCUAUUUUCUCCCUCUCGUGCUCCACCUGGAUACCUGGGCUCUGGCACCCAGUGAAGGCAAGGAACUUCCCUCUAUCCAAAUUUCACACCACUGAGGAGACCUCACCUGAAAAGUCCUCCAUGGAGCUGAAGGCUCAGCUGUCCUCAGGGGAUGUGAGCUCUCUGCAGCAGUGUACAGCAGCAGGACAAGAGGCAUACAGUGAGACUAGAGAGGUGCUGAGUGUAUAGGAGAAACUCCCCCCAGAGGACAGUCAAGUUGCCCACUCUGCUGUCUCCACUGUCUAGACUUUGCAGGAGAGCCCUGAGAACCCGGUCUUACUCCUGGCUGACCGCUUUGAGCAUGAGGCUGGAACAGAAACUUCCCAACUUCCAGCCUCCCACCUGAGUCCCACUGCAGUCUGCACCCAUGCUGAGAGACUGAUGUGCACCCUCUCCUCUCCCAGCGCUCCUGCUGAGGCUCCUGCUGUGCUUCACACUCAACUCCCCACUCAGAGCUCCACCAAUUUCUACGACCCACACACCAGCCUUCUUCUUCUGCCCCACUCACACAGCCUCCCACUUCCACAGCACAAGGAGCUGUACAGGAUCCUUGCAGUAGCAGGGCUACACCCGUGCUCACAGCCCCUGAGCGAGUCCUGCUCAUUUCUGGGCUUCCCUGUCCCCUUCCAGAGGUGGUGGGAUCUGUCUGGAGUGAUCUGUCUUGGGUUUCUCCAUGGAUCUAUCUUAAAGCCUUUGCCUCUCAUGGAUAGAUUUUAAAGCCCCCCUCCAUGUUUUCUUCUCACUUUUCCAGAGAAAAAGGAAGGGAAGAGCUUGAAACAGAAGAUGUGCAAGCAAAGAUCAGAAGACAUCAUCCCUGCCUCUCUCACUUCUGGAGGAGAUGCUGUCCUCCCUAGGCUAUGGGCAGAGCUGGGCUGACUCUAGGAUUUGAGUGAGGAUGAGAGAACCCUCCAUGCAGAUCUCUGUCCCAAACCCCCAUGGUCCAAAUUCAGUGCUGGAUCCCACUCUAAAGCCAGAUGAGAAUCCCUGGGCUUUGUCCGAUCAAGUCGAGAAGAUCUCUGAGGGUGGAGACCCCACAGCCCCACUCGGUCUCUCUCAUUUCCAGGGGCUGCCGGCAGAACUCCCCGCUUUGAGCCCCAGAGUCCUCCCCACCUCCUGCAGCACGCAGCGUGCCACUGGGCUCAGCUGCAUCCCCGAACCUUUCCCAGUCCUGGCUGUGUCGCUGGUGUACGGCACAGCACCGAUGCGGCAGCAGUGUGACAUCAGCGACGCACCACCGCCAGCACCACAUACCACACCUGCACGGCUCCGGCUCGAUGGGACCGGAGAGGGCAUCCUCCUGCCUCCCUCCUGCCCGAGCCCGGCAGGCGUUUCACUCUGCGAGCAAAGUCACGAACAGCAGAGUUGUUUUUUUUUUUUUCCAGCGGCGUCUUCCGAGAGUCCCAGGCAUCGGCACCGGGAGGGAGCGGGGAGGGCGGCGGAGAGCUCUGCGCCCCUGCCCGCGGAAAGCGGGCGGCACCGGGGGGGGCUCCUUCACCCGG
ensembl:lncRNA